GGUCAGGCUGAAGACCUUACCCGAUUAGCUGAGAGGUGGUGCAUGGCCGUCGUCAGUCGUACUGUGAAGCAUCCUGUUAAGUCAGGCAACGAGCGAGACCCACGUCCACAGUUGCCGGCAUACCCUCCGGGGUGAUGGGUACACUGUGGAGACCGCCGCUGCUAAAGCGGAGGAAGGAGUGGGCAACGGUAGGUCAGUAUGCCCCGAAUCUCCCGGGCUACACGCGGGCUACAAUGGUUGGUACAAUGGGCAUCUACCCCGAAAGGGGAAGGAAAUCUACUUAAAGCCAAUCGUAGUUCGGAUUGAGGGCUGCAACUCGCCCUCAUGAAGCUGGAAUCCGUAGUAAUCGCGUUUCAACAGAACGCGGUGAAUACGUCCUGCUCCUU
rnacentral:rRNA from 1 species